rnacentral:rRNA from 1 species
CUGGCGGCGUGCUUAACACAUGCAAGUUGAACGGUCCGGCAUGGAAGCUUGCUGAAGUGUCGGGUAGUAGCGGACGGGUGAGUAAUGCAUGAGAAGCUGCCAUUGGGAGGGGGACAACAGUUGGAAACGGCUGCUAAUACCCCAUAUGCCGGAAGGUGAAACGGAGUGAUCCGCCCGAUGAGGUGCUCAUGUCCUAUCAGCUUGUUGGUGAGGUAACGGCUCACCAAGGCGACGACGGGUAGCCGGCCUGAGAGGGUGACCGGCCACACUGGAACUGAGAUACGGUCCAGACUCCUACGGGAGGCAGCAGGUGGGGAAUAUUGGGCAAAGUGGGGGCAACCCUGACCCAGCGACGCCGCGUGAGGGAAGACGGUCCUUCGGGUUAGUAAACCUUCUUUUGUACGGGAAGAAGGACGUGACGGUACCGUGCGAAUAAGUCCCGGCUAACUACGUGCCAGCCGCUGC